rnacentral:rRNA from 1 species
AGAGUUUGAUCCUGGCUCAGGACGAACGCUGGCGGCGUGCCUAACACAUGCAAGUCGAACGGAGCACCCCGUUCGGAGGCUUCGGCCAAAGAAUGGGAAUGCUUAGUGGCAGACGGGUGAGUAACGCGUGAGUAACCUGCCCUUAAGAGGGGGAUAACACAUCGAAAGGUGUGCUAAUACCGCAUAAUAUGUAUUUGCCGCAUGACAGAUACAUCAAAGAUUUAUUGCUUAAGGAUGGACUCGCGU